rnacentral:rRNA from 1 species
CCCUUAGAUGUUCUGGGCCGCACGCGCGCUACACUGAUACGUUCAACGAGUUUAUAACCUUGAUUGAUAGGUCUGGGUAAUCUUUUGAAUGCGUAUCGUGCUAGGGAUAGAUUAUUGAAAUUAUUAAUCUUGAACGAGGAAUUCCUAGUAAACGCAGAUCAUCAAUCUGCAUUGAUUACGUCCCUGCCCUUUGUACACACCGCCCGUCGCACCUACCGAUUGGAUGGUCCGGUGAAGCCUCGGGAUUGUGGUUCUUGCCGCUUUAUUGUGGCGUGACCGCGAGAACUUGUCUAAACCUUAUCAUCUAGAGGAAGGUGAAGUCGUAACA